rnacentral:rRNA from 1 species
GUGGGGAAUAUUGGGCAAUGGGCGCAAGCCUGACCCAGCAACGCCGCGUGAAGGAAGAAGGCCCUCGGGUUGUAAACUUCUUUUGUCAGGGACGAAGCAAGUGACGGUACCUGACGAAUAAGCCACGGCUAACUACGUGCCAGCAGCCGCGGUAAUACGUAGGUGGCAAGCGUUAUCCGGAUUUACUGGGUGUAAAGGGCGUGUAGGCGGGAGAGCAAGUCAGACGUGAAAUUCCAGGGCUCAACCCUGGAACUGCGUUUGAAACUGUUCUUCUUGAGUGAUGGAGAGGCAGGCGGAAUUCCGUGUGUAGCGGUGAAAUGCGUAGAUAUACGGAGGAACACCAGUGGCGAAGGCGGCCUGCUGGACAUUAACUGACGCUGAGGCGCGAAAGCGUGGGGAGCAAACAGG